rnacentral:tRNA from 1 species
AAGGCGCCCCCACUACCAAG